GACGAACGCUGGCGGCGUGCUUAACACAUGCAAGUCGAACGAAGUGGCGAACGGGUGAGUAAAGCGUAAUCAACCUGCCCUUCAGAGGGGGAUAACAGUUGGAAACGACUGCUAAUACCGCAUACGGAAGGAGGGGAUGGCGUCUGAUUAGCUAGUUGGAUGGGUAACGGCCCACCAAGGCGAUGGUCAGUAGCCGGUCUGAUGGGAUGAACGGCCACAUUGGGACUGAGACACGGCCCAGACUACUACGGGAGGCAGCAGUGGGGAAUCUUCCGCAAUGGACGAAAGUCUGACGAAGCAACGCCGCGUGAGUGAUGACGGCCUUCGGGUUGUAAAGCUCUGUUAAUCGGGACGCGGUACCGGAAUAGAAAGCCACGGCUAACUACGUGCCAGCAGCCGCGGUAAUAC
rnacentral:rRNA from 1 species